CUUAAAAAAAGGCCACAUAUUAAUUUGUGAUUAAUCGCGAGUUAACUCUGGACACAAUGCAAUUAAUCGCAAUUAAAAAUUUUAAUUGCCUGACAGCUCUAAUCUAAACACGCAUUUUUCCUUGCUAAAACACAAGUUGCAAAAGAACUCUGCUCAUAUUCUUAAAUGAAAGCUCACAUAAUGCAAAAUGGUUGCCAUGUUCUGCAAUAUUUGAACACAAUGAAGACACCUGGGGCCAUUGUUUACACACAACAACUCGACAUUUGAGACACCAGUUGGUAAUACCAUGACCACAUGUAUGAAAGCAAGUUUAAAGUACAAAAUGGAUGAAGUCAGAGUCAGGGGAAGAGGACUUUGUGUCAGAGGAGGAAGAAGAGCUGACCAUGGAAGAAGAGGAGCAGGCCAACCAGGAAGAGGAGUUCAAAUCAGGAGGAGGAAGAGGAGCAGGCCAACAAGGAAGAGGAGAAGGUCCAGAAGGGAGAGCAAGGCAACCUCGCACCAUCAUUUCGGACAAGAUGCGAACAACAGUCAUUGUCCAUGGCAUGACGAUGGCUGAAGCUGGGCUAAGAGUCCGUCCAAACCCGAGUAGGUUUACCGCGGCAUGCUUUAUCAGGGCUUUCAGACAACACAACAGGUAUUGUACUAUAUUGCUUUUUUUGGUCAUAAUCCAGUUUUACAAGCCAGUAGAAAGUAGUCUAUUGGUCUCAAAUCAGUUGUUAUUCUAUAAUACUGUAUAAAAUGUCAACUGACAACACAUGUUUUUUUCUUUACAGUUUAAAGAAUGCCACAUAGGGGUGGGAGGGUUGCCAUAUUUACAGUGGCACAAGGAACUUUCAAUGCAGAUAUGGUUCCUGAGAACAACCUAAUCUGACUCCAGGAGAUAAGAAACAAAGUCAUUGCCGAUAAUAUCAACUUUGAGAGCAUUGAUGAUGUCCGGUUGGCUACAAUAGACUGAGUUCUUUUGCACCAAAAGAUGCAGAUGAAACAGGUCUAUAGGGUUCCCUUUGAGCGCAACUCUGCACAGCACAAAGAUCUAGGUUACGAGUAUGUGCAAACGAUAUUGCAGUUGAAUGCGAUGUCCAGACCUCAUGAGUAUUUAAUCCUGGAUGAGGCUAACUUCAACCUGCAGAAACAAAGGCAAAGAAUCUGUAACAUCAUUGGCCAAAGAGCCAGAACUGAGGUUCCUGGCCAACGGGGGGUAAUUUUACUCUUUGUGCGGCCAUGGGUUCGGAGGGGCUUGUCACCCGGCAUGCUGUCCUCGGGUCUAAGAACACCCACCGUCUCCUCAACUUUGUAGAGGAGCUAAGAGACAUCCUUCUGCUCCGCCAACAACACCAUCCUGGACCAUCUAAGAGGAUCUGUUACUGUAAAGUUUUUUAUAAAAAUAUGCACUGGCAGUUAUGAAACCCUCUCACACAUUGAGCAUUGUGUUUUCAAUUGUUUUGCUGUAGGGUAAUGAUGUGUAUAGUGUUUACAUGUUUGAAAGCUUCGAGCUGCUCUUUUGGUGUAAAAGUUUGAGGUUUGAAGUUCGAAGUUGUGGUUGUGUUUAUGUACAGUAGGUUUAGAAAAGGGUGCUGUGUUUAGACAUUGGGGAACAUGGAGGAAACAUCUGUGAUAUGUUUUAGCAUUUGAGAAAAAACAUUAAAAUGGGGAAGACACAUCCUUUUCUAAAGUUGUCAAAGUUUUUUUUUUUUUUAUGUAUGUGUGUAUCUUAGAUUUACAAAGACUCUUUAAACCCCUAAAUUAGGUAAUCACUGUGGAGACUUUUAUUUUGUUUUACUAGAUUUAUUAAAGGUAUAUGACGGACAAGUACAGAGAAAGUUAAAUUAUCCACAAAUUCCCCAGCACAACACUUGUUUUACAUUUCUAUGUCACAAAACACACAAGUACUAAAACUUUCUAAUGAUCGGUAAAUAAAAAACAUUAAUUUGUAAUAGUGACAAAUCAACAAGUAUUUCAAACAAAUGAUUCUUAUCAUCAUACUAAAGAUUUUACCAAUGAGACAUUGAGAAAAGGGUUGUGAAUAUUGUUCUAUUAUCUGAAGGAUUCCAUCUGAAAUAGUAAUUCGAUUUUAAGUAUUACAACAUUACAACAAAGUAAACAAUUAAAAGAGAUGAUGUGGGUGGUUAUGUUUUAAUAAAACAUGAAAGGUUAAAUCAGUACAACAACAGAUGCAGAUUUAAAGACAGUCAUUAUUAGGACAGAGGGAGAAGACACUUAGAUGAUGAAAUGCAAACCUAGCUCUAAAAUCAAAUGACUCUAAAUGAUGGAAAGAAAGAUGAUGUCAAAGUUGCUAACUCUAUAAGUAAAAUACAAUGUGAAAACAUCUGGAGUUUGAUGUAAUUUUGAAUGAAAAAAAAAAAAAAAAACAAA